GACGAACGCUGGCGGCGUGCUUAACACAUGCAAGUCGAACGGAAAGGCCUGCUUUCCCUUGUGGAUUGCGGGUACUCGAGUGGCGAACGGGUGAGUAACACGUGAGUGAUCUGCCCCCAACUUGGGUAUAAGCCUGGGAAACUGGGUCUAAUUCCCGAUAGGACUGCAGGGUGGUGCCUGUGGUGGAAAACGAUUUUCUAGUGGUUGGGGAUGAGCUCGCGGCCUAUCAGCUUGUUGGUGGGGUAAUGGCCUACCAAGGCGGCGACGGGUAGCCGGCCUGAGAGGGUGGACGGACACAUUGGGACUGAGAUACGGCCCAGACUCCUACGGGAGGCAGCAGUGGGGAAUAUGACACAAUGGGCGGAAGCCUGAUGCAGCGACGCCGCGUGGGGGAUGACGGCCUUCGGGUUGUAAACUCCUUUCGACCGCGAGGAAGCCACCUGGUUGGAAGGGUGGUGACGGUAGUGGUAGAAGAAGCACCGGCUAACUACGUG
rnacentral:rRNA from 1 species